rnacentral:rRNA from 1 species
GACGAACGCUGGCGGCGUGCUUAACACAUGCAAGUCGAACGGGCCUUGUCCCCUUUUUUUUUGGGGGUGGGGUUAGUGGCGAACGGGUGAGUAACACGUGAGUAACCUGCCCCUCACUUCUGGAUAACCGCUUGAAAGGGUGGCUAAUACGGGGUGUUCUGGCCUGCUCGCAUGGGUGGGUUUGGAAAGAUUCGACCGGUUUUGGUUGUUUUGGUGGGGGAUGGGCUCGCGGCCUAUCAGCUUGUUGGUGGGGUGAUGGCCUGCCAAGGCUUUGACGGGUAGCCGGCCUGAGAGGGUGGGCGGUCACACUGGGACUGAGACACGGCCCAGACUCCUACGGGAGGCAGCAGUGGGGAAUAUUGCACAAUGGGCGCAAGCCUGAUGCAGCGACGCCGCGUGAGGGAUGGAGGCCUUCGGGUUGUGAACCUCUUUCGCCGGUGAAGAAGGUCCUGCUCUUUGUGGUGGGGUUGACGGUAGCUGGGUUAAUGAAGCGCCGGCUAACUACGUG